GAGGGUAUAGCUCAAGUGGUAGAGCACAUGUUUAGCAUGCACAAGGUCCUGGGUUCAAUCCCCAGUACCUCCU
rnacentral:tRNA from 1 species